rnacentral:sRNA from 1 species
AGUGCCAAGCAGUAGCUAGCCAGCAGCAGGGCUCCUGACCAGGGCAUGAGCUUGGCAAGCACCCACUGACCUUUCCUCUCUGGAUGGAGGCUCAGGUUUCAGCCUGCUGUGAGGGAAGCUGUCUUGUGGUACCAGGAGACUGAUACCCUCUUUCCCCUCAGUCACAUGUGCUCCUCACAUGGGUCAACUGUUCCAGUGUGCGGUGGGCCACCCGGGUUCAAGACAUCUUCACAGCUGGGAAGCUCCUGGCCUUGGCCCUGAUUAUCAUCAUGGGGAUUGUACAGAUAUGCAAAGGAGAGUACUUCUGGCUGGAGCCAAAGAACGCAUUUGAAAAUUUCCAGGAACCUGACAUCGGCCUCGUCGCACUGGCUUUCCUUCAGGGCUCCUUUGCCUAUGGAGGCUGGAACUUUCUGAAUUACGUGACUGAGGAACUUGUUGAUCCCUACAAGAACCUUCCCAGAGCCAUCUUCAUCUCCAUCCCACUGGUCACAUUUGUGUAUGUCUUUGCCAAUGUCGCUUAUGUCACUGCAAUGUCCCCCCAGGAGCUGCUGGCAUCCAACGCCGUCGCUGUG